GACGUAGGGCGCGAGCGUUGUCCGGAUUUAUUGGGCGUAAAGAGCUCGUAGGCGGCUCGUUGCGUCGGCUGUGAAAACCCGCAGCUCAACUGUGGGCUUGCAGCUGAUACGGGCGGGCUGGAGUUCGGUAGGGGAGACUGGAAUUCCUGGUGUAGCGGUGGAAUGCGUAGAAAUCAGCAGGAACACCCGUGGCGAAGGCGGCUUCCUGGAUCACCCCUGACGCUGAGACGCGAAAGCGUGGGGAGCGAACGGG
rnacentral:rRNA from 1 species